rnacentral:rRNA from 1 species
CCCUUAGAUGUCCGGGGCUGCACGCGCGCUACACUGAAGGAAUCAGCGUGCCAAAACCAUUGUCGAAAGGCAUUGGUAAACCCAUUAAAAUCCUACGUGAUUGGGAUCGGGAAUUGCAAUUAUUUCCCUUGAACGAGGAAUUCCCAGUAAGUGUGGGUCAUAAGCUCGCGUUGAUUACGUCCCUGCCCUUUGUACACACCGCCCGUCGCUGCCCGGGACUGAGCCGUUUCGAGAAAAGCGGGGACUGCUGCUGUCGGGGCUUUCGGGCCUUGGCUUCGGUGGAAACCGCUUUAAUCGCAGUGGCUUGAACCGGGCAAAAGUCGUANCA